rnacentral:tmRNA from 1 species
CCUACCACUCGCUGAAACUCCAAACAGGGAACUAAGCAUGUAGAAAGCUGUGCGGAGCUUUCUCUGGACGCGGGUUCGACUCCCGCCGUCUCCACAA